rnacentral:rRNA from 1 species
UACGUAGGUGACAAGCGUUGUCCGGAUUUACUGGGCGUAAAGAGCGCGCAGGCGGUCGUUCAAGUCGAGGGUGAAAGCCCCCGGCUCAACUGGGGAGGGUCACUCGAUACUGAUCGACUCGAAGGCAGGAGAGGGAAGUGGAAUUCCCGGUGUAGUGGUGAAAUGCGUAGAUAUCGGGAGGAACACCAGUGGCGAAGGCGACUUCCUGACCUGUUCUUGACGCUGAGGCGCGAAAGCUAGGGGAGCAAACGGG